rnacentral:rRNA from 1 species
GGACUACUGGGGUAUCUAAUCCUUUUCAUUACCCAAGCCUUCGUCCCUCAACGUCAGUUUUUAUAUAAAGGAUUGUCUUCACUAUUAUCAGUCUUAUUAGUAUCAACGUAUUUCAUCUCUACACUAACAAUACUUAUAUCUACCUCUCAUAUUAAACUCUAGUCUAUUUAUACAUAAACCGUCUAGGUACCCUUUAAACCUAAUAAAGAUGAAUAACACUAGGCUUACUCGUGUUACCGCGGCGGCUGGCAC